CUACGGGACGCAGCAGUUAGGAAUAAUCUACAAUGCACGCAAGUGUGAUAGUUUGAGUCAGAGUGCGUUCCAUUCGGAAUGCUUUUGCCAAAUGUAAAAAGUUUGGCGAAUAAGGACUGGGUAAGACGAGUGCCAGCCGCCGCGGUAAUACUCGCGGUCCAAGUCGCAGCCAUUUUUAUUGGGUCUAAAACAUCCGUAGCUUGCUUGGUAAGUUCCUUGUGAAAUUCCAUAUCUUAAAUAUGGAGCGCGCAGGGAGUACUGCCAUAGCUAGAGACUGGAAGACGUAACGAGUACGUUAGGAGUAGCGGUAAAAUGUGUUAAUCCCUGACGGACUAACAAUAGCGAAGGCACGUUACGAGGACAGUUCUGACAGUAAGGGAUGAAGGCUAGGGGCGCAAAACGGAUUAGAUACCCUCGUAGUC
rnacentral:rRNA from 1 species